UUUAUUUUCACUAUUAUAUUAUAUUCAUGCUUUUGUUUGACUUGAAUAACAAGAAGAAAACUCUUGAAUAGUGAUAGUCUUGUGAAGUGAAUAUCAACAAGAGCUCACACAAUUAUGUAUUGAUUUCAUUUUCCUUCUAUUUUUUAUGAUUAAAGUUGUAAUGAUAUAAGUAUUUUAUUUUUUCUUUCUUUCCUUUCUUAUAUAUUACUAUGAUGCCUCU
rnacentral:lncRNA from 1 species